rnacentral:rRNA from 1 species
CCUACGGGUGGCAGCAGUGAGGAAUAUUGGUCAAUGGGCGCGAGCCUGAACCAGCCAAGUAGCGUGCAGGAUGACUGCCCUACGGGUUGUAAACUUCUUUUAUAAAGGAAUAAAGUGAGGCACGUGUGCCUUUUUGUAUGUACUUUAUGAAUAAGGAUCGGCUAACUCCGUGCCAGCAGCCGCGGUAAUACGGAGGAUCCGAGCGUUAUCCGGAUUUAUUGGGUUUAAAGGGAGCGUAGAUGGGUUGUUAAGUUAGGUGUGAAAGGUUGGGGCUCAACCGUAAAAUUGCAAUUGAUACUGGCAGUCUUGAGUACAGUUGAGGUAGGCGGAAUUUGUGGUGUAGCGGUGAAAUGCUUAGAGAUCACGAAGAACACCGAUUGCGAAGGCAGCUUACUAAUCUGCCACUGACAUUGAUGCACGAAAGUGUGGGUAUCAAACAGGAUUAGAUACCCUUGUAGUC